GACGAACGCUGGCGGCGUGCCUAAUACAUGCAAGUCGAGCGGACCGGAUUGGGGCUUGCCUUGAUUCGGUCAGCGGCGGACGGGUGAGUAACACGUGGGCAACCUGCCCGCAAGACCGGGAUAACUCCGGGAAACCGGAGCUAAUACCGGAUAACACCGAAGACCGCAUGGUCUUCGGUUGAAAGGCGGCCUUUGGGCUGUCACUUGCGGAUGGGCCCGCGGCGCAUUAGCUAGUUGGUGAGGUAACGGCUCACCAAGGCGACGAUGCGUAGCCGGCCUGGGAGGGUGACCGGCCACACUGGGACUGAGACACGGCCCAGACUCCUACGGGAGGCAGCAGUAGGGAAUCUUCCGCAAUGGGCGAAAGCCUGACGGAGCGACGCCGCGUGAGCGAAGAAGGCCUUCGGGUCGUAAAGCUCUGUUGUGAGGGACGAAGGAGCGUCGUUCGAAGAGGGUGGCGCGGUGACGGUACCUCACGAGAAAGCCCCGGCUAACUACGUG
rnacentral:rRNA from 1 species